GACGUAGGAGGCGAGCGUUAUCCGGAUUCACUGGGCGUAAAGCGCAUGUAGGCGGAUGUCUAAGUCGUGUGUUAAAGCCCCUGGCUCAACUGGGGGAGGUCAUGCGAGACUGGAUGACUUGAGGGUAACAGAGGCACGUGGAACUCCCGGUGUAGCGGUGGAAUGCGUAGAGAUCGGGAAGAACACCGGUGGCGAAGGCGGCUCGCUGGGCCAGUUCUGACACUCAUCCGCGAAAGCGUGGGGAGCAAACGGG
rnacentral:rRNA from 1 species